CCUACGGGUGGCUGCAGUGGGGAAUAUUGGACAAUGGGGGGAACCCUGAUCCAGCCAUGCCGCGUGUGUGAAGAAGGCCCUCGGGUUGUAAAGCACUUUCAGUGAGGAAGAACGCCUGGUGGUUAAUACCCAUCAGGAAAGACAUCACUCACAGAAGAAGCACCGGCUAACUCCGUGCCAGCAGUCGCGGUAAUACGGAGGGUGCGAGCGUUAAUCGGAAUUACUGGGCGUAAAGCGCGCGUAGGUGGCUUGAUAAGCCGGUUGUGAAAGCCCCGGGCUCAACCUGGGAACGGCAUCCGGAACUGUCAAGCUAGAGUGCAGGAGAGGAAGGUAGAAUUCCCGGUGUAGCGGUGAAAUGCGUAGAGAUCGGGAGGAAUACCAGUGGCGAAGGCGGCCUUCUGGACUGACACUGACACUGAGGUGCGAAAGCGUGGGUAGCAAACUGGAUUAGAUACCCCUGUAGUC
rnacentral:rRNA from 1 species